rnacentral:rRNA from 1 species
GGAUUGCCCUAGUAACGGCGAGUGAAGCGGCAACAGCUCAAAUUUGAAAUCUGGCCUCGGCCCGAGUUGUAAUUUGCAGAGGAUGCUUCUGGCGCGGUGCCUUCCGAGUUCCCUGGAACGGGACGCCACAGAGGGUGAGAGCCCCGUAUGGUCGGACACCAAGCCUGUGUGAAGCUCCUUCGACGAGUCGAGUAGUUUGGGAAUGCUGCUCUAAAUGGGAGGUAAAUCUCUUCUAAAGCUAAAUACCGGCCAGAGACCGAUAGCGCACAAGUAGAGUGAUCGAAAGAUGAAAAGCACCUUGAAAAGGGGGUUAAAUAGUACGUGAAAUUGUUGAAAGGGAAGCACUUAUGACCAGACUUGGGCCGGGCGGCUCAUCAGGGGUUCUCCCCUGUGCACUCCGCCCGGCACAGGCCAGCAUCGGUUCUCGUGGGGGGAUAAGACCGUCAGGAACGUAGCACCCUCCGGGGUGUGUUAUAGCCUGGCGGACGAUACCCCCGUGGGGACCGAUGUCCACGCUCCGCAAGGAUGCUGGCGUAAUGGUCAUCAGUGACCCGUCUUGAAACACGGA